rnacentral:rRNA from 1 species
AUUGAACGCUGGCGGCAGGCCUAACACAUGCAAGUCGAACGAGUGGCGGACGGGUGAGUAAUGUCUGGGAAACUGCCCGAUGGAGGGGGAUAACUACUGGAAACGGUAGCUAAUACCGCAUACCAUCGGAUGUGCCCAGAUGGGAUUAGCUAGUAGGUGGGGUAAUGGCUCACCUAGGCGACGAUCCCUAGCUGGUCUGAGAGGAUGACCAGCCACACGGAACCGGAGCCCUGGUCACACCUCCUACGGGGGGCAGCGUGGGGGAAUUUUGCACAAUGGGCGCAAGCCUGUGCAACCCAUGCCGGGUGUAUAAAGAGGGCCUUCGGGUUGAAAAGUACUUCCAGCGGGGAGACGUUACUCGCAGAAGAAGCCCCGGCUAACUCCGGGCCAGCAGCCGCGGUAAUAC